rnacentral:misc_RNA from 1 species
CUUUUCCCUCUCAGUGUCUGGAUAAUAAAAAUAAAAGAUAAAAAAUAAAAAAAUCGCAAUAGAAACAAAACUAUAAAUAUAUAAUUUAAUUUAUCUCCAAAUUGGUAGGAAAAUAAGACAAAUUUCCUCUCCUCCCUCAUUUUCCAAGCUUGUAGGCUUUGUAUACUCAUUUUAGCUUUGGUUAUUUUCCUUCCCCUUUUCCACCAAUCCAAUCAGGGUGUAGAUUGUCAUUCAUCAAUCAAGAGCUUUGUAUAAAAUUACUCUAUUUGUGAUGUGAAGGUCACAAAUUUCAGUCCCAAAAACACUCUUUACAAAGCAUGGAUUAGUCUUCAUACAUGAACCUUUACUGUAGCCUCACAGUGUGGGAUAAUUGGUGCACUGAAUUACCCUUUUUAAUCAAGUUCCCAAAGUGGGCCGUCUGCUGUCUUAACCAUCUAUCUAUUGAAACUGGAGUAGCUUCGAUAUUUCAUUGAACUUUUCUUCGACCUUACUAGAAUGAAACGUGAACAAUAGGCCGAAAGAAGAAGAUGUCUACAGUGGCAAUCAAACAAAAUUCUAUGCCAGUAUUCAAUUUGAAAGAAGAAGAAAUUUAAAAGAAGGUUGCAAAGCAUUUCCAGCCCCAUGCUUGUAUUCUGGAGUGACUGAAAGAAUCUGAAGCCAGUAAACCAUCAAUCAUCAGCAGAAAAUCUAUCUUCAGUGUCUAUUUACAGUUAAGAUAUUCAACAAGGUGUCGAUCGAGCUCAAAAUGUUUAUAAAGGAGUCUCUUACUGACAGGAGGAUGCGAAGAUUUUGCUUCAAAAUCCCACUCUGGAAAGCGUGUAACCUCAGCAUUAUUCUCAAAUAAUAUAUAAGUAGGAAGUUGGCUCAUGCCCCCACUAAGAGAUAUUCCAAAUUUUUCUGCUGCAUUUGGGAAGAGUCCAAGAUCAACCCGUCCAAAUGAUAAGUUCUUGGUCGAGUAUAUAAUUGAGAGCUCAGGAAAACACCGACUUGCACGUAUACAAGCAGAUGAAUAGAAAGCAUAAAAUUCCACCAACCAGAAUCUUGAUGUGUUCCCUUCUGUCAGCAAGGCUUCUAAUUGCAGCGGUGUUAAUUUAUUUGAAGUACCUAGAAAUUCCAAUUAGAAAAGAAAAGCAUUUUAAAGACCUGAAAUUUGAAGUCACAGCCAUUAUUCAUUAAAUGCAUAUUAUCAAUAAGGAUUUAUACUAAUUGGUCCAUACCUAGUCCUUGGAAGGCAGGCUGUUGUGUUGAGAUAUAUAUAACUGCAAAAUGAAAAGAGCACAACAAAAGUACAUUCCAAUUUUUUUAAGAGAAAAGGGAAACCAUAAUUAUCACUGUAGGAACAGCUUAAUCUUAAGAUGCUCAAUGCUUAAUUUGGUAUUGUUUUUCUUCACCAUUAAAACACAAAACUUAUCAAUAAUAUGUCAUCAAAUGGAACAAUUGAACAAAAACAAUGAAGGAAAAGAAUAUGCUGACAAAGGUUAUAAAUAUGCAAUAGUUUAAUCAAUGGUGUUCAGUGAUACAAGUAAGCUUAAAGUAUUGACUUUCAAACAUAAGAAAGCAUAACCAAAUACGGUAAAAAUUGCAAACUCAAUUUCUCAUAAUGUCAUCCAAAUUUCCUUAAUUUAUAUAAUAAUUAGAAAAAAUGACAAGAAAAUAUCUACCUGAAAAUAUCACUAUGUACCAGAGAGCCAAGUGGUAAUCCAAUAUCAAAGUAAUGGCAACAAGAAGAAGCUGAAAUAUAGUUUUUAAGUUGAAUCAGAAUAGGAUAAGAACAAAGCACGGAAAGGAUGGGUAAGAAACUAAGCUGGGUGUUAUACAGUAAAGAAUAGGAUCUAGUGUGAAAAAUUUAAGACCUGAAAUGAGGCUAACAAUUUGAAAUGAUAACCAAGUACCCAUGUCCCUUCUAUUUAUGCACUUCUUAAUAACAAAUAAUAAGAGUUCAAUCAUUUUUUAAAGCUCUAUAUUGGUCGUAAAAACAUAAAACACUUGCUACAGCAUAUAAGUAGACCAUUCACACAGUCACAGCCCCUCACACUGUCAGCAGAAUUCCCACUAUUAGUGAUGUUCUGAUAAUUGGCAUCACUUGUCAAUUGCACAUUGGACAAUGUAACAAUGACUGCAUUGAUAAUGUGCAUGGCCAAUUUAAAAGAAUAAUUUUCCAUUUGUCACAAAUUCACAAUUGCAUCAAUGCUGAUUGAUGCGAAUAAAAAAUAGAAGAAAAUAUAGCAGAAGUCGAACAAAGCAUUGAGCUAGUAAUCACCUUUGCAAAGAACAGUAUGUCAGCAACAAAGGCCUCCCAUGUUUCUUCUUUCACCCACUUAAUAACAGCUAAAACGGAAAGCAACAGAAUCCCUUGAAUCUCCCAAUGAAGGAGACGGUGAGUGAUGUGAGGAGAAAGGACAAGGGAUGAGGAGGUGCGAAGGACGAAAUAAGAGAAGAAAGCGAGGAAAUGAGAGAGAUAAUAAGGCUCCGAUACCAUCAGAUUUAGCCAUCGGAGUGGAUUAUGAUCGUGCUUCUUCUCCAUUUCACUCUCAAUGACUACAGAUGAAUCUGUGGAUCAAGCUUCGAUUUUUGAUUUCCUACCUUUCUAAUGUUUGAUCGUUGUGACUUGUGAUGACUAGGAGGCUCAGCCUACCACUAUUUUCUACUGGUAGUUGGUACUUGUCGUCCGCAUCUCAG